rnacentral:rRNA from 1 species
GAUGAACGCUGGCGGCGUGCCUAAUACAUGCAAGUCGAGCGAACAGACGAGGAGCUUGCUCCUCUGACGUUAGCGGCGGACGGGUGAGUAACACGUGGAUAACCUACCUAUAAGACUGGGAUAACUUCGGGAAACCGGAGCUAAUACCGGAUAAUAUAUUGAACCGCAUGGUUCAAUAGUGAAAGACGGUUUUGCUGUCACUUAUAGAUGGCUCCGCGCCGCAUUAGCUAGUUGGUAAGGUAACGGCUUACCAAGGCAACGAUGCGUAGCCGACCUGAGAGGGUGAUCGGCCACACUGGAACUGAGACACGGUCCAGACUCCUACGGGAGGCAGCAGUAGGGAAUCUUCCGCAAUGGGCGAAAGCCUGACGGAGCAACGCCGCGUGAGUGAUGAAGGUCUUCGGAUCGUAAAACUCUGUUAUUAGGGAAGAACAAAUGUGUAAGUAACUAUGCACGUCUUGACGGUACCUAAUCAGAAAGCCACGGCUAACUACGUG